rnacentral:rRNA from 1 species
GACGAACGCUGGCGGCGUGCUUAACACAUGCAAGUCGAACGGAAAGGCCCUGCUUUUGUGGGGUGCUCGAGUGGCGAACGGGUGAGUAACACGUGAGUAACCUGCCCUUGACUUUGGGAUAACUUCAGGAAACUGGGGCUAAUACCGGAUAGGAGCUCCUGCUGCAUGGUGGGGGUUGGAAAGUUUCGGCGGUUGGGGAUGGACUCGCGGCUUACCAGCUUGUUGGUGGGGUAGUGGCUUACCAAGGCUUUGACGGGUAGCCGGCCUGAGAGGGUGACCGGCCACAUUGGGACUGAGAUACGGCCCAGACUCCUACGGGAGGCAGCAGUGGGGAAUAUUGCACAAUGGGCGGAAGCCUGAUGCAGCAACGCCGCGUGCGGGAUGACGGCCUUCGGGGUGUAAACCGCUUUCGCCUGUGACGAAGCGUGAGUGACGGUAAUGGGUAAAGAAGCACCGGCUAACUACGUG